UAAUAAUAAUAAUAAUAGCUAGACUAUUAAUUAGUCUCGACGAAUAAUAAACUAAACUCUAGUGGUAAUAAUACUAGGUUUCGUCGAAGAAAAUUCUUUUUAAGAAGCGAAGCGCUGUCUGAGUUCGGAAUCACCACCUUUUCAGGUAGUGGCGCUUGAGCAUAUAUAUGAUGUUUGGACGAGGGAUUACGGAUAUAGGCCUGUAGAUAUGAAAUAAUGUAGUAAGGCUUGUAUUGUACUGUUUAUGCUUUUGAUCUGUACGAACAUGACAUCCCGAGUCUUUUAAUGAAAUACAUUUCUAUGGAAA